GGCUCAGGAUGAACGCUAGCUACAGGCUUAACACAUGCAAGUCGAGGGGAAACGACAUCGAAAGCUUGCUUUUGAUGGGCGUCGACCGGCGCACGGGUGAGUAACGCGUAUCCAACCUGCCCACCACUUGGGGAUAACCUUGCGAAAGUAAGACUAAUACCCAAUGAUAUCUCUAGAAGACAUCUGAAAGAGAUUAAAGAUUUAUCGGUGAUGGAUGGGGAUGCGUCUGAUUAGCUUGUUGGCGGGGUAACGGCCCACCAAGGCGACGAUCAGUAGGGGUUCUGAGAGGAAGGUCCCCCACAUUGGAACUGAGACACGGUCCAAACUCCUACGGGAGGCAGCAGUGAGGAAUAUUGGUCAAUGGGCGAGAGCCUGAACCAGCCAAGUAGCGUGCAGGAUGACGGCCCUAUGGGUUGUAAACUGCUUUUAUAAGGGAAUAAAGUUAGUCUCGUGAGACUUUUUGCAUGUACCUUAUGAAUAAGGACCGGCUAAUUCCGUG
rnacentral:rRNA from 1 species